AUUGAACGCUGGCGGUAUGCUUAACACAUGCAAGUCGAACGGUAACAGGCCUUCGGGCGCUGACGAGUGACGGACGGGUGAGUAACGCGUAGGAAUCUGCCUCAUAGUGGGGGACAACGUGUGGAAACGCACGCUAAUACCGCAUACGCCCUACGGGGGAAAGCGGGGGACCUUCGGGCCUCGCGCUAUGAGAUGAGCCUGCGUUAGAUUAGCUAGUUGGUAGGGUAAAGGCCUACCAAGGCGACGAUCUAUAGCUGGUCUGAGAGGACGAUCAGCCACACUGGGACUGAAACACGGCCCAGACUCCUACGGGAGGCAGCAGUGGGGAAUAUUGGACAAUGGGCGCAAGCCUGAUCCAGCAAUACCGCGUGUGUGAAGAAGGCCCUAGGGUUGUAAAGCACUUUCAGUAAGGAGGAAGCGUUGAGUGUUAAUAGUACUCAGCGUUGACGUUACUUACAGAAGAAGCACCGGCUAACUCUGUGCCAGCCGCCGCCGUAAAAC
rnacentral:rRNA from 1 species